rnacentral:rRNA from 1 species
GUGCCAGCCGCCGCGGUAAUACGUAGGGGGCGAGCGUUGUCCGGAAUCAUUGGGCGUAAAGAGCUCGUAGGCGGUUCAGUAAGUCAGGUGUGAAAGCUCCGAGCUCAACUCGGAGAGGCCACCUGAUACUGCUGUGACUAGAAUCCAGUAGGGGAGUGUGGAACUCCUGGUGUAGCGGUGAAAUGCGCAGAUAUCAGGAAGAACACCAGCGGCGAAGGCGGCACUCUGGGCUGGAAUUGACGCUGAGGAGCGAAAGUGUGGGUAGCAAACAGGAUUAGAAACCCCCGUAGUCC